rnacentral:rRNA from 1 species
UACGUAGGGACCGAGCGUUGUCCGGAAUCAUUGGGCGUAAAGAGCGUGUAGGCGGCUAUUUAAGUCCUGCGUGAAAUCCUGCGGCUCAACCGCAGACGGUCGUGGGAAACUGGGUGGCUAGAGUGCGGGAGAGGAGAGUGGAAUUCCCGGUGUAGCGGUGAAAUGCGCAGAUAUCGGGAAGAACACCCGUGGCGAAGGCGGCUCUCUGGAACGCAACUGACGCUGAGACGCGAAAGCGUGGGGAGCAAACAGG